GCUCUCGAUCGCGUUUCUUGGAAUCGGCACACAUUUCUGGGCAGAUCUCACGCUCAUUCAACUGUGCUAAUAUCCUCAGGUAACAAAUGACUCUUGUUUUGUGGGUUUAAACAUGUUUUUAUGAAAGAUAAGGCCACAGAUGUGAAUCUUUUGAAUAUUUGCUGCUGUUUUGAGUUUUUUGCUGGUUCUGUGUGUUGGCCAUGUUGUUUGGUUGAUAAGAUCUGAUUCAAUAAGAGUUCAUGGGAUGAGUCUUAUUAAGAAAAUGCGUUUAGGGUUUCCUAUGGGGUUAUCUGAUGAAUCCAUGAGUCUUUACUUGAUGUUUAUGGCUGGUCUUCAUGUGUUUAAACAAGCAACCUAGAAAAAUGGCUUAAAACUUCGGGUAAGUCUGUUCUGAUGCUCCCUUGAUCGCAGCUCCUCCUUUUCUUGUUGUUUGUGUAAUUUUGAUGGUGGGUUUUAGUGUUAAAUGGAGUGAGUUGCAAGUUUUUUUGCUUGGAGAUUGAUUCGCAUGAUUUACACAUUUGAUAAGAAAGCCCAGAAACCUGUGAAUGAGCUCGGAACUUGCCAGCUUUUCCCAUCUUAGAUUUCCGUUGUUUGCAUGUUUAAUCUUGUGUUUGAUGAGGGUUUAUGGAAUCUGAUGAAUGUUGGGUUCGAAGCUUUGUUUCAAAUUUUUGCAAGUUGCCUGGGUUACUAAAUGGCUUGAUGUUGCAGAAAUAAGAACAG
rnacentral:lncRNA from 1 species